rnacentral:rRNA from 1 species
AACGAACGCUGGCGGCAGGCUUAACACAUGCAAGUCGAACGCCCCGCAAGGGGAGUGGCAGACGGGUGAGUAACGCGUGGGAACGUACCCUUUACUACGGAAUAGCUCCGGGAAACUGGAAUUAAUACCGUAUGUGCCCUUCGGGGGAAAGAUUUAUCGGUAAAGGAUCGGCCCGCGUUGGAUUAGCUAGUUGGUGGGGUAAAGGCCUACCAAGGCGACGAUCCAUAGCUGGUCUGAGAGGAUGAUCAGCCACAUUGGGACUGAGACACGGCCCAAACUCCUACGGGAGGCAGCAGUGGGGAAUAUUGGACAAUGGGCGCAAGCCUGAUCCAGCCAUGCCGCGUGAGUGAUGAAGGUCUUAGGAUUGUAAAGCUCUUUCACCGGGGAAGAUAAUGACGGUACCCGGAGAAGAAGCCCCGGCUAACUUCGUGCCAGCCGCCGCCGUAA